ACCAACAGGGAUUGCCCUAGUAACGGCGAGUGAAGCGGCAACAGCUCAAAUUUGAAAUCUGGCUCUUUCAGAGUCCGAGUUGUAAUUUGCAGAGGGCGCUUUGGCUUUGGCAGCGGUCCAAGUUCCUUGGAACAGGACGUCACAGAGGGUGAGAAUCCCGUACGUGGUCGCUAGCUAUUGCCGUGUAAAGCCCCUUCGACGAGUCGAGUUGUUUGGGAAUGCAGCUCUAAAUGGGAGGUAAAUUUCUUCUAAAGCUAAAUAUUGGCCAGAGACCGAUAGCGCACAAGUAGAGUGAUCGAAAGAUGAAAAGCACUUUGGAAAGAGAGUCAAACAGCACGUGAAAUUGUUGAAAGGGAAGCGCUUGCAGCCAGACUUGCUUGCAGUUGCUCAUCCGGGCUUUUGCCCGGUGCACUCUUCUGCAGGCAGGCCAGCAUCAGUUUGGGCGGUGGGAUAAAGGUCUCUGUCAUGUACCUCUCUUCGGGGAGGCCUUAUAGGGGAGGCGACAUACCACCAGCCUAGACUGAGGUCCGCGCAUCUGCUAGGAUGCUGGCGUAAUGGCUGUAAGCGGCCCGUCUUGAAACACGGACCAAGGAGUCUAACAUCUAUGCGAGUGUUUGGGUGUCAAGCCCGAGCGCGUAAUGAAAGUGAACGGAGGUGGGAACCCGCAAGGGUGCACCAUCGACCGAUCCUGAAGUUUACGGAAGGAUUUGAGUAAGAGCAUGGCUGUUGGGACCCGAAAGAUGGUGAACUAUGCUUGAAUAGGGUGAAGCCAGAGGAAACUCUGGUGGAGGCUCGCAGCGGUUCUGACGUGCAAAUCGAUCGUCAAAUUUGGGCAUAGGGGCGAAAGACUAAUCGAACUAUCUAGUAGCUGGUUCCUGCGA
rnacentral:rRNA from 1 species